ACUGUUGAAGACCAUAUAAUCUAGUAGAAACUCUCUCUUGUGUACUGUUAGGUAUUUAAAUAAAAAUACAUAGUCUCAUCUAAGGACUUCUGAAAUUUUACUUUCAUCAGAUUCCUCCCCUGCCAUCAGAUGAUGACUGGUAAAUGUAGAGUCCUUUUUCCACAUAAUAAAGAACCGUGGAUUGGUGUCCUUUACAUGCUGCGAAAAGGCCUUGUAGAAGCUGCAGAUUGCUACACAACAAGCUGUGAACACUGGUGUCUGCUCACAUAUGACUGCUUGUGCUGGUUUGUACUCAUUGGCUGUAAAGCUGGUAUAAAGAGCGGAUAGGCCAAACAGAUCCAAGGUAAAGAAUAGCUGUUAAGGUACAAGAUGUUGCCAUAGAUAUAUCACUGUCUGGGUGAGGAUGCUAGACGUGUGUGUGUAGGCAUACGUCAUUUGGGGCUCUUCUACAUAUGGUUUCUGGAAGCUCCAGAGUUCUUGAUAAUGUGAAUCUGAGGGCUUGGCAAUGGUGUUGGAUAAGGAUCCUAUGUGUGCAGGAACAUAUGUGUGGGACAGUUUUGUAGCUGUGUCUGCUAGCCAUUCUGAUGGCUUGCAGCUAAGAAUUUAUGUGACCAUAUGAAAUCUAACAGAAUACCUUCAUGAUAGAGAAGGGAUUGUUCUUACCAGAUGUGGGUGAUGAAACACCAUAGUCUGCUUAAAAUAUAUAAGACUAGUGUUAUGGCCCAUGGCUGUGUCACAGAGAGACAACACAUGCACCAGGAUGUGGGAUUUCUGGAAAUAUUUCCAAAAAAGUGAGUCUCUUUCAUAGCUUUUUACAUAUACUGGUAGACUAAUAUGGAAUCAGGUGGUGAUGCUACUGGGGCUGUGGCAACAGCAAAGACAAACAUCUAUGGAACUUCUCAGUAAUGACUGAAAUGAUGAAAUAAAGUAGAAGUUCAGUCUUUUGGGAUUAAAUGU
rnacentral:lncRNA from 1 species